CUCCCCACACACACCCUCGCAGGAAAGUUCCCCAGCCCGGGCCGGGCUCCCAGGCAGCUUGGCACCGUGCCAGGCUCGCCGCCGAGCGCGGGCAGCCGGGUGGGGCGAGCGGCGGCGGCGCCGAGGACGUGGCCGGGCACCCCGGGCGCCAGCAGGACCCGAGGCCCGGAGGCCGGGGCCCAGAAGAUCCAGGUGUGAGUUGAGAAGUUUUUUCCCAAGCACAAGAAGUUUCCCAGUGAGCCUCGGGGUCCUCCUCGAAGUUUCCGGCGUUCUGUGUGUGAGAGCCUGCCAAUAUCAGAGAAGCUGUGAGUGAGGGAAGAAGGAGCUGGUGGCGCCCGCAUCCCCUGUCUUCUCUCAGACACUGAGACUGGGAAGGACUUUGGAAGCAGGAGCUUGUAGCCUGUUUAGAAUAUAGAGCUGAAAAACUGGUCAAUGGCUAAGAUAUUAGCAAAAGCACAAAUCCUUGAUGAGAGUUAAAAAUUCUUGUUUCUGAGCAUCGUUGAAAGCCAAGCACAGGAGUGAAAAUGCCUGUCCACGUCUCUCAUUAUUUUCGAAUACAUCUAAAAAAUGUGCGUUCAUCAUGUAAAAAUUAUAUAGACUCUUACUUUCAAGAUUAAUGUCGCCUAUUGUCUGAUUGUUUACAUGACCACUUUCUUUUGGUUAAAAAAAAAAUGAACUUCAAGUUCCUUUAAAAUUAGGAAUUACAUCAAAAGUUGCUCUAUAAAUAGCAAGAAACAAAACAGAACACAAGCAUUGGCUUUCUUUAUUAGCAUUUUUUUUUUGCAGCCAUUAAAAAUUAUCUUGUCUUGCAGUGAUAAAUUUAGGUGAGACAUUUUUUCACUUUCUGUAGAAAGGGCAUAUAUGAAAAAUCCAACUUUAACCUUGUCUUUCUGUUAACUGGCUCUAAAAGGUAUGAUAUUUACACGCAGUCGGGAAAAUGAAAGUGUCAUUAUGCAUAAAGCAAAGUACUUACUUGUGUUGUGUGAAAUCAUGUUAGAUUUUAAAAAAAUAAAAUGGGAGUAUCUCAAUAAAUAAGACCACUGUGGUCAAAUUUCAAA